rnacentral:misc_RNA from 1 species
CAGAGUUAUACAACUCCCAUACCAUCUGUGAACCUACCCAGUUAUGCCUCGGCGUAAGCUCGGUUGGAGGCACCCGCAGCUACCCUGUCGCUUGCUACCCUGUAGCUAGCUACCCUGAAGUUGCGGGCUGCCACAUCCAGCCGCGGCCCGCCGGCGGUACACGAAACUCUGUUUUAUUGUAUCUUCUGAGCGUCUUAUUUUAAUAAGUUA